rnacentral:rRNA from 1 species
AAAGCGCAUGCAGGUGGUUUGUUAAGUCAGAUGUGAAAGCCCGGGGCUCAACCUCGGAAUAGCAUUUGAAACUGGCAGACUAGAGUACUGUAGAGGGGGGUAGAAUUUCAGGUGUAGCGGUGAAAUGCGUAGAGAUCUGAAGGAAUACCGGUGGCGAAGGCGGCCCCCUGGACAGAUACUGACACUCAGAUGCGAAAGCGUGGGGAGCAAACAGGAUUAGAUACCCUGGUAGUCCACGCCGUAAACGAUGUCUACUUGGAGGUUGUGGCCUUGAGCCGUGGCUUUCGGAGCUAACGCGUUAAGUAGACCGCCUGGGGAGUACGGUCGCAAGAUUAAAACUCAAAUGAAUUGACGGGGGCCCGCACAAGCGGUGGAGCAUGUGGUUUAAUUCGAUGCAACGCGAAGAACCUUACCUACUCUUGACAUCCAGAGAACUUUCCAGAGAUGGAUUGGUGCCUUCGGGAACUCUGAGACAGGUGCUGCAUGGCUGUCGUCAGCUCGUGUUGUGAAAUGUUGGGUUAAGUCCCGCAACGAGCGCAACCCUUAUCCUUGUUUGCCAGCGAGUAAUGUCGGGAACUCCAGGGAGACUGCCGGUGAUAAACCGGAGGAAGGUGGGGACGACGUCAGUCAUCAUGGCCCUUACGAGUAGGGCUAC